rnacentral:rRNA from 1 species
AACGAACGCUGGCGGCAUGCCUAACACAUGCAAGUCGAACGAGACCUGCGGGUCUAGUGGCGCACGGGGGCGUAACGCGGGGGAACCUGCCCUUAGGUUCGGAAUAACUCCCCGAAAGGGGUGCUAAUACCGGAUAAUGUCUUCGGACCAAAGAUUUAUCGCCUUUGGAUGGGCCCGCGUUGGAUUAGCUAGUUGGUAGGGUAAAAGCCUAUAAAGGCGACGAUACAUAGCUGGUCUGAGAGGAUGAUCAGCCACACUGGGACUGAGACACGGCCCAGACUCCUACGGGAGGCAGCAGUGGGGAAUAUUGGACAAUGGGCUGAAGCCUGAUCCAGCACUGCUGGGUGAGUAAUGAAGGCCUUAGGGUUGUAAAGCUCUUUUACCCGGGAUGAUAAUGACAGUACCGGGAGAAUAAGCUCCGGCUAACUCCGUG